rnacentral:lncRNA from 1 species
GCUCCUGCCGGUGUGGGCCGCCUCGAGGAAGAGGCGCUGCGACGGAAAGAACGACUAAAAGCUCUCCGGGAGAAAACUGGGCGCAAGGGGCCUCAGGCUUCGGAACUAUGUCCCAGAGGAUGAAGACCUGAAGAGGAGGCGGGUUCCCCAGGCCAAACCAGUUGCAGUGGAAGAGAAGGUGAAGGAGCAGCUGGAGGCUGCCAAGCCAGAGCCUGUCAUAGAGGAAGUGGACCUGGCCAACCUGGCACCCCGGAAACCCGAUUGGGAUCUCAAGAGAGAUGUGGCUAAGAAGCUAGAGAAGUUAGAAAAGCGGACCCAGAGAGCCAUUGCAGAGCUGAUCCGUGAACGGCUAAAAGGGCAGGAAGACAACCUGGCCUCUGCAGUGGACGCCACCACCGGACAAGAGGCUUGUGACUCUGACUGAGAUGUCUUCUGAGUCCCACCUGUUCAGAACACUCAUCCUGGGGGAGGAUAGUCUCAGCAGGGAUGGGGUUAGACUGGCUAGCACUUCUGGGUCUUGAGAACCGAGCCAACCCACUGAGUCUCAGCUUCUGUUGGCUGUGACCAGUUCAUCUCCCAAGGGUGCCCACCCCCUGAGUGGGUCGAAGCUGAGAUCUGUACAUAUGUAUGUAAACGGAGCUUUUUAACUUUUAGAAAUAAACUCCAUUUAGUAGA